rnacentral:rRNA from 1 species
UACGUAGAGUGCGAGCGUUGUCCGGAAUUAUUGGGCGUAAAGAGCUUGUAGGCGGUUUGUCGCGUCUGCUGUGAAAUCUCAAGGCUCAACCUUGAGCUUGCAGUGGGUACGGGCAGACUAGAGUGUGGUAGGGGAGACUGGAAUUCCUGGUGUAGCGGUGAAAUGCGCAGAUAUCAGGAGGAACACCGAUGGCGAAGGCAGGUCUCUGGGCCACUACUGACGCUGAGAAGCGAAAGCAUGGGGAGCGAACAGG